GGUUUUUGUCAUUCUAAAGGCUGCAGAUUUGAGGACUCCUAGCAAAAGCAUCAUUUACAUGACUCCCACACUAGGAGGAGAUCUGCCUGUGAUAAUUAUGACUCAGAAUCUAGCCACACCCACAAUCCCAUCUGGUGGUCAGCUUCCACCACAUAACACUAUCAUGCCAGAUCAACAAAAGCCAUUUCAAGGGAUGACACCAGAGCAGGUGUACCAAUAUAUCCAGGAGAUGGAGAUCCAAAUCACCUUCCUCAAAGGAUUGAUUCCAGGGACCAGCACCCCACAAGGGACACUU
rnacentral:misc_RNA from 1 species